rnacentral:rRNA from 1 species
ACCGGGGUUGCGGACAGUGUCUGGUGGGUAGUUUGACUGGGGCGGUCUCCUCCCAAAGCGUAACGGAGGAGCACGAAGGUUAGCUAAUCCUGGUCGGACAUCAGGAGGUUAGUGCAAUGGCAUAAGCUAGCUUGACUGCGAGCGUGACGGCGCGAGCAGGUGCGAAAGCAGGUCAUAGUGAUCCGGUGGUUCUGAAUGGAAGGGCCAUCGCUCAACGGAUAAAAGGUACUCCGGGGAUAACAGGCUGAUACCGCCCAAGAGUUCAUAUCGACGGCGGUGUUUGGCACCUCGAUGUCGGCUCAUCACAUCCUGGGGCUGAAGUAGGUCCCAAGGGUAUGGCUGUUCGCCAUUUAAAGUGGUACGCGAGCUGGGUUUAGAACGUCGUGAGACAGUUCGGUCCCUAUCUGCCGUGGGCGCUGGAGAAUUGAGGGGGGCUGCUCCUAGUACGAGAGGACCGGAGUGGACGCAUCACUGGUGUUCGGGUUGUCAUGCCAAUGGCACUGCCCGGUAGCUAAAUGCGGAAGAGAUAAGUGCUGAAAGCA